rnacentral:rRNA from 1 species
GUGGGGAAUAUUGGACAAUGGGCGAAAGCCUGAUCCAGCCAUGCCGCGUGUGUGAAGAAGGUCUUCGGAUUGUAAAGCACUUUAAGUUGGGAGGAAGGGCAGUAAGUUAAUACCUUGCUGUUUUGACGUUACCGACAGAAUAAGCACCGGCUAACUUCGUGCCAGCAGCCGCGGUAAUACGAAGGGUGCAAGCGUUAAUCGGAAUUACUGGGCAUAAAGCGCGCGUAGGUGGUUUUGUAAGUUGGAGGUGAAAUCCCCGGGCUCAACCUGGGAACUGCCUCCAAAACUGCAUGACUAGAGUACGGUAGAGGGUAGUGGAAUUUCCUGUGUAGCGGUGAAAUGCGUAGAUAUAGGAAGGAACACCAGUGGCGAAGGCGACUACCUGGACUGAUACUGACACUGAGGUGCGAAAGCGUGGGGAGCAAACAGGAUUAGAUACCCCGGUAGUCC